GUGUCAGGUUAAGUCCUAUAACGAGCGCAACCCCUAUCGUUAGUUGCCAUCAAGUAAAGUUGGGAACUCUAGCGAAACUGCCGGUGCAAACCGUGAGGAAGGUGGGGAUGACGUCAAAUCAUCACGGCCCUUACGUUCUGGGCUACACACGUGCUACAAUGGCCGGUACAGAAAGCAGCCACUAUGCGAAUAGGAGCUAAUCUUUAAAACCGGUCUCAGUUCGGAUCGCAGUCUGCAACUCGACUGCGUGAAGCUGGAAUCGCUAGUAAUCGGAUAUCAGCCAUGAUCCGGUGAUACGUUCCCGGGCCUUGUACACACCGCCCGUCAAGCCAUGGAAGCUGGGGGUACUAAAGUCGGUGACCGAAAGGAGCUGCCUAGGGUAAAACUAGUGACUGGGGCUAAGUCGUAACAGGUAGCCAGGGCGAUUCCAGCACAUGGCGGCCGUAUAGUGAUCCGAGCUCGUACCA
rnacentral:rRNA from 1 species